rnacentral:rRNA from 1 species
UGCAAGUCGAACGGUUAAAGCACCUCCGGGGUGUGUAUAAAGUGGCGAACGGCUGAGUAACACGUGGGCAACCUGCCCCUCGCUCCGGGACAGCCUCGGGAAACUGGGAGUAAUACCGGAUACUCCGCCACCCCCGCAUGGGGGAGGCGGGAAAGCCCUUACGGCGAGGGAUGGGCCCGCGGCCUGUUAGCUUGUUGGUGGGGUAACGGCCUACCAAGGCGAUUAUGGGUAGCUGGGUUGAGAGACCGACCAGCCAGAUUGGGACUGAGACACGGCCCAAACUCCUACGGGAGGCAGCAGUGGGGAAUCUUGCACAAUGGGCGAAAGCCUGAUGCCAGCGACGCCGCGUGCGGGAUGAAGGCCUUCGGGUUGUAAACCGCUUUCAGUGGGGACGAGGCCGCGAGGUGACGGUACCCACAGAAGAAGCCCCGGCUAACUACGUGCCAGCAGCCGC